CCUACGGGUGGCAGCAGUGAGGAAUAUUGGUCAAUGGACGCAAGUCUUAACCAGCCAUGCCGCGUGCAGGAAGACGGCUCUAUGAGUUGUAAACUGCUUUUGUACGAGGGUAAACUCAGAUACGCGUAUCUGUCUGAAUGUACCCUACGAAUAAGGAUCGGCUAACUCCGUGCCAGCAGCCGCGGUAAUACGGAGGAUUCAAGCGUUAUCCGGAUUUAUUGGGUUUAAAGGGUGCGUAGGCGGUCGGUUAAGUUAGAGGUGAAAUCCCGGGGCUCAACUUCGGAAUUGCCGCUGAUACUGUUCGGCUAGAGGGUAGUUGCGGUAGGCGGAAUGUGAGGUGUAGCGGUGAAAUGCAUAGAGAUCAUGCAGAACACCGAUUGCGAAGGCAGCUUACC
rnacentral:rRNA from 1 species